rnacentral:misc_RNA from 1 species
GAAAUGCGAUAAGUAAUGUGAAUUGCAGAAUUCAGUGAAUCAUCGAAUCUUUGAACGCACAUUGCGCCCGCCAGUAUUCUGGCGGGCAUGCCUGUCUGAGCGUCAUUUCAACCCUCAGCCCCCGUUCGCGGGGCGCUGGCGUUGGGGCCCGGCCGUCCUCGCGGCGGCCGUCCCCGAAACACAGUGGCGGUCUCCCACAGACUCCCCUGCGUAGUAACACUACCUCGCAGAAGGGACGAGCGGGCUGGCCACGCCGUAAAACACCCCACUUCUCAAGGUUGACCUCAGAUCAGGUAGGAAUACCCGCUGAACUUAA